GAGUUUGAUCAUGGCUCAGAUUGAACGCUGGCGGCAGGCCUAACGCAUGCAAGUCGAGCGCGAAAGGCUUUCGGGCUGAGUAGAGCGGCGGACGGGUGAGUAACGCGUAGGAAUCUACCUGGUAGUGGGGGACAACUUGGGGAAACUCAAGCUAAUACCGCAUACGCCCUAAGGGGGAAAGCGGGGGACCUUCGGGCCUCGCGCUAUCAGAUGAGCCUGCGUAGGAUUAGCUUGUUGGUGAGGUAAAGGCUCACCAAGGCGACGAUCCUUAGCUGGUCUGAGAGGAUGAUCAGCCACACUGGGACUGAGACACGGCCCAGACUCCUACGGGAGGCAGCAGUGGGGAAUAUUGCGCAAUGGGGGCAACCCUGACGCAGCCAUGCCGCGUGUGUGAAGAAGGCCUUCGGGUUGUAAAGCACUUUCAAUGGGGAAGAAAAGCGGGUCGUUAAUAGCGGUCCGCCCUGACAUUACCUUUAGAAGAAGCACCGGCUAACUCCGUGCCAGCAGCCGCGGUAAUACGGAGGGUGCGAGCGUUAAUCGGAAUUACUGGGCGUAAAGCGCGCGUAGGUGGUUUGUUGAGUCAGCUGUGAAAGCCCCGGGCUCAACCUGGGAACUGCAGUUGAUACUGGCCGACUAGAGUACGAGAGAGGGAGGUAGAAUUCCAUGUGUAGCGGUGAAAUGCGUAUAUAUGGAGGAAUACCGGUGGCGAAGGCGGCCUCCUGGCUCGAUACUGACGCUGAGGUGCGAAAGCGUGGGGAUCAAACAGGAUUAGAUACCCUGGUAGUCCACGCCGUAAACGAUGUCUACUAGCCGUUGGGAGACUUGAUUUCUUAGUGGCGCAGCUAACGCAAUAAGUAGACCGCCUGGGGAGUACGGCCGCAAGGUUAAAACUCAAAUGAAUUGACGGGGGCCCGCACAAGCGGUGGAGCAUGUGGUUUAAUUCGAUGCAACGCGAAGAACCUUACCAGGUCUUGACAUCCUCGGAACUUUCCAGAGAUGGAUUGGUGCCUUCGGGAACCGAGAGACAGGUGCUGCAUGGCUGUCGUCAGCUCGUGUCGUGAGAUGUUGGGUUAAGUCCCGUAACGAGCGCAACCCCUGUCCUUAGUUGCCAGCACGUAAUGGUGGGAACUCUAAGGAGACUGCCGGUGACAAACCGGAGGAAGGUGGGGACGACGUCAAGUCAUCAUGGCCCUUACGACCUGGGCUACACACGUGCUACAAUGGAACGCACAGAGGGCAGCAAAAGCGCGAGCUGGAGCCAAUCCCACAAAACGUUUCGUAGUCCGGAUCGGAGUCUGCAACUCGACUCCGUGAAGUCGGAAUCGCUAGUAAUCGUGGAUCAGAAUGCCACGGUGAAUACGUUCCCGGGCCUUGUACACACCGCCCGUCACACCAUGGGAGUGGGUUGCUCCAGAAGUGGUUAGCCUAACCUUCGGGGGGGCGAUCACCACGGAGUGAUUCAUGACUGGGGUGAAG
rnacentral:rRNA from 1 species